GGGAAACUGGGUCUAAUACCGGAUAUGACUCUUCAUCGCAUGGUGGGGGGUGGAAAGCUUUAUUGUGGUUUUGGAUGGACUCGCGGCCUAUCAGCUUGUUGGUGAGGUAAUGGCUCACCAAGGCGACGACGGGUAGCCGGCCUGAGAGGGUGACCGCCUACACUGGGACUGAGACACGGCCCAGACUCCUACGGGAGGCAGCAGUGGGGAAUAUUGCACAAUGGGCGCAAGCCUGAUGCAGYGACGCCGCGUGAGGGAUGACGGCCUUCGGGUUGUAAACCUCUUUCAGUAGGGAAGAAGCGAAAGUGACGGUACCUGCAGAAGAAGCGCCGGCUAACUACGUGCCAGCAGCCGCGGUAAUACGUAGGGCGCAAGCGUUAUCCGGAAUUAUUGGGCGUAAAGAGCUCGUAGGCGGUUUGUCGCGUCUGCCGUGAAAGUCCGGGGCUCAACUCCGGAUCUGCGGUGGGUACGGGCAGACUAGAGUGAUGUAGGGGAGACUGGAAUUCCUGGUGUAGCGGUGAAAUGCGCAGAUAUCAGGAGGAACACCGAUGGCGAAGGCAGGUCUCUGGGCAUUAACUGACGCUGAGGAGCGAAAGCAUGGGGAGCGAACAGGAUUAGAUACCCUGGUAGUCCAUGCCGUAAACGUUGGGCACUAGGUGUGGGGGACAUUCCACGUUUUCCGCGCCGUAGCUAACGCAUUAAGUGCCCCGCCUGGGGAGUACGGCCGCAAGGCUAAAACUCAAAGGAAUUGACGGGGGCCCGCACAAGCGGCGGAGCAUGCGGAUUAAUUCGAUGCAACGCGAAGAACCUUACCAAGGCUUGACAUGGGCCGGAUCGCCGCAGAAAUGUGGUUUCCCCUUUGGGGCCGGUUCACAGGUGGUGCAUGGUUGUCGUCAGCUCGUGUCGUGAGAUGUUGGGUUAAGUCCCGCAACGAGCGCAACCCUCGUUCUAUGUUGCCAGCGCGUAAUGGCGGG
rnacentral:rRNA from 1 species